rnacentral:rRNA from 1 species
GAUGAACGCUGGCGGCGUGCCUAAUACAUGCAAGUCGAGCGAACAGGCGAGGAGCUUGCUCCUCUGACGUUAGCGGCGGACGGGUGAGUAACACGUGGAUAACCUACCUAUAAGACUGGGAUAACUUCGGGAAACCGGAGCUAAUACCGGAUAAUAUAUUGAACCGCAUGGUUCAAUAGUGAAAGACGGUUUUGCUGUCACUUAUAGAUGGAUCCGCGCCGCAUUAGCUAGUUGGUAAGGUAACGGCUUACCAAGGCAACGAUGCGUAGCCGACCUGAGAGGGUGAUCGGCCACACUGGAACUGAGACACGGUCCAGACUCCUACGGGAGGCAGCAGUAGGGAAUCUUCCGCAAUGGGCGAAAGCCUGACGGAGCAACGCCGCGUGAGUGAUGAAGGUCUUCGGAUCGUAAAACUCUGUUAUUAGGGAAGAACAAAUAUGUAAGUAACUAUGCACGUCUUGACGGUACCUAAUCAGAAAGCCACGGCUAACUACGUG